CGAUACAUAGUGCGAUGACGUUUUCGAUCUUAUACUGGGGAUAUUACAUAUUGGGAACAAAAUUUUUAGUAUCAAACCUUGAAUAACUGUUCAUUAAGAUAUGUUGUUAAGAUUACUUACGUAAAAGAGAUGUACUAUGUCUGUGGUAAAACACGAAGCUCAAGGUUCCAUGCGAGACUGAAGCUACAGAGUCAGCUGUUACGAUGUAUAGGAAUGUCUUGAAAACAGAUGUCAAACAAUCAUUGAUGUAAGAUCUUAAGUCUGUACCACCUCGGGCUCAACAAACCAAAAAGGAUGGGCUCUAUUCCUUGCACUGUGCAGAUAACCGAAUUGUCAACAACAGGUAAUCACAUUUUGAUGGGUUACUGCUAAGCUUUACAUCAAUGCAUUGGAAACUGGUUCCUGACCAUCUGUACCCAUCGACUUGGUGGGUCUACUGUGAAGGACCUGAUUUCAAGCCAUGAUUCUCCAUCUACUUCAUAACCACAAGACAGGCACUAGCUAUUGAUAGACUUGUAAUCUCAUGUCAUUGCCAAGAAUAUAUUGUACAAUUUGUGUGUCAUAAAUGAUCAAAUACUACCACUCUAGAGGAAAAAUCAAUUAAACGUAGGCUUGACUUAUGUACAUAAGUAUCUACAUUAAAUUGUAUGAAAAGAAAA